GAUGAACGCUGACAGAAUGCUUAACACAUGCAAGUCUACUUGAACUUCGGUUUGGGUGGCGGACGGGUGAGUAACGCGUAAAGAACUUGCCUCACAGUUAGGGACAACAUUUGGAAACGAAUGCUAAUACCUGAUAUUAUGAUUUUAGGGCAUCCUAAGAUUAUGAAAGCUAUAUGCGCUGUGAGAGAGCUUUGCGCCCCAUUAGCUAGUUGGAGAGGUAACGGCUCACCAAGGCGAUGAUGGGUAGCCGGCCUGAGAGGGUGAACGGCCACAAGGGGACUGAGACACGGCCCUUACUCCUACGGGAGGCAGCAGUGGGGAAUAUUGGACAAUGGACCAAAAGUCUGAUCCAGCAAUUCUGUGUGCACGAUGACGUUUUUCGGAAUGUAAAGUGCUUUCAGUUGGGAAGAAAAAAAUGACGGUACCAACAGAAGAAGUGACGGCUAAAUACGUGCCAGCAGCCGCGGUAAUACGUAUGUCACAAGCGUUAUCCGGAUUUAUUGGGCGUAAAGCGCGUCUAGGUGGUUAUGUAAGUCUGAUGUGAAAAUGCAGGGCUCAACUCUGUAUUGCGUUGGAAACUGCAUGACUAGAGUACUGGAGAGGUAAGCGGAACUACAAGUGUAGAGGUGAAAUUCGUAGAUAUUUGUAGGAAUGCCGAUGGGGAAGCCAGCUUACUGGACAGAUACUGACGCUAAAGCGCGAAAGCGUGGGUAGCAAACAGG
rnacentral:rRNA from 1 species